rnacentral:rRNA from 1 species
AUUGAACGCUGGCGGCAUGCCUUACACAUGCAAGUCGAACGUGAAAGGGGGGCAACCCCCGAGUAGAGUGGCGGACGGGUGAGUAACACAUCGGAACGUACCCAGUAGUGGGGGACAACCUCGAGAAAUCGAGGCUAAUACCGCAUACGACCCACGGGUGAAAGCGGGGGACCGCAAGGCCUCGCGCUAUUGGAGCGGCCGAUGUCCGAUUAGCUUGUUGGGCGGGGUAAGAGCCCCACCAAGGCGACGAUCGGUAGCUGGUCUGAGAGGAUGAUCAGCCACACUGGGACUGAGACACGGCCC